AGUGGUUCUUUGCAAGGUCUAGG
rnacentral:piRNA from 1 species